GUGCCAGCAGCCGCGGUAAUACGUAGGUGGCAAGCGUUAUCCGGAAUUAGUGGGCGUAAAGCGCGCGUAGGCGGUUUUUUAAGUCUGAUGUGAAAGCCCACGGCUCAACCGUGGAGGGUCAUUGGAAACUGGAAAACUUGAGUGCAGAAGAGGGAAGCGGAAUUCCAUGUGUAGCGGUGAAAUGCGCAGAGAUAUGGAGGAACACCAGUGGCGAAGGCGACUUUCUNGGUCUGUAACUGACGCUGAUGUGCGAAAGCGUGGGGAUCAACAGGAUUAGAUAC
rnacentral:rRNA from 1 species